CUAAUUCCUAUUUGGGACCGCUAAGCCUGCGAGUCGAGAGGGUUCGGCCCUCGGCGAACUGCUCAGUAACACGUGGAUAAUCUAACCUUAGGUGGAGCAUAACCUCGGGAAACUGAGAAUAAUACUCCAUAGAUCUUUGAGGCUGGAAUGCGCUUAGAUUGAAAGCUUCGGCGCCUAAGGAUGAGUCUGCGGACUAUCAGGUAGUAGUCAGGGUAAAGACCUGACUAGCCUACGACGGAUACGGGUUGUGAGAGCAAUAACCCGGAGAUGAUAUCUGAGACACGAUAUCAGGCCCUACGGGGCGCAGCAGGCGCGAAAACUUCACAAUGCGCGAAAGCGCGAUGAGGGGAUCCCAAGUGCUUGCACGUAAGUGUAAGCUGUUUUUCUGUCUAAAAAGCAGAGAGAGUAAGGGCUGGGUAAGACGGGUGCCAGCCGCCGCGGUAAUACCUGCAGCUCAAGUGGUGGCCGCUAUUAUUGGGCCUAAAACGUCCGUAGCCGGCUGAGUAAAUGCCUGGGUAAAUCGUGUGGCUUAACCAUACGAAUUCCGGGUAGACUGCUCAGCUUGGGACCGGAAGAAGUUAGAGGUACUCCUGGGGUAGGGGGUGAAAUCCUGUAAUCCUGGGGGGGACCACCAGUGGCGAAGGCGUCUAACUAGGACGGGUCUGACGGUGAGGGACGAAGCCCUGGGGCGCAAACCGGAUUAGAUACCCGGGUAGUCCAGGGUGUAAACGCUGCUUGCUUGAUGUUAGCUGGGCUCCGAGCUCGGCUAGUGUCGGAGAGAAGUUGUUAAGCAAGCUGCCUGGGAAGUACGGUCGCAAGACUGAAACUUAAAG
rnacentral:rRNA from 1 species